UACGGGGGGGGCAAGCGUUGUUCGGAAUUACUGGGCGUAAAGGGCUCGUAGGUGGCCAACUAAGUCAGACGUGAAAUCCCUCGGCUUAACCGGGGAACUGCGUCUGAUACUGGAUGGCUUGAGUUUGGGAGAGGGACGCGGAAUUCCAGGUGUAGCGGUGAAAUGCGUAGAUAUCAGGAAGAACACCCGUGGCGAAAGCGGCUUCCUGGACCAGUACCGACGUUCAGGCACGAAAGCGUGGGGAGCAAACAGG
rnacentral:rRNA from 1 species